AAUGACGGUUCGGGAGCCUACACAUGCAAGUCGGACGGUAGCACAGAGGAGCUUGCUCCUCGGGUGACGAGUGGCGGACGGGUGAGUAAUGUCUGGGGAUCUGCCCGAUAGAGGGGGAUAACCACUGGAAACGGUGGCUAAUACCGCAUAACGUCGCAAGACCAAAGAGGGGGACCUUCGGGCCUCUCACUAUCGGAUGAACCCAGAUGGGAUUAGCUAGUAGGCGGGGUAAUGGCCCACCUAGGCGACGAUCCCUAGCUGGUCUGAGAGGAUGACCAGCCACACUGGAACUGAGACACGGUCCAGACUCCUACGGGAGGCAGCAGUGGGGAAUAUUGCACAAUGGGCGCAAGCCUGAUGCAGCCAUGCCGCGUGUAUGAAGAAGGCCUUCGGGUUGUAAAGUACUUUCAGCGGGGAGGAAGGCGAUGAGGUUAAUAACCUUGUCGAUUGACGUUACCCGCAGAAGAAGCACCGGCUAACUCCGUGCCAGCAGCCGCGGUAAUACGGAGGGUGCAAGCGUUAAUCGGAAUUACUGGGCGUAAAGCGCACGCAGGCGGUCUGUUAAGUCAGAUGUGAAAUCCCCGGGCUUAACCUGGGAACUGCAUUUGAAACUGGCAGGCUUGAGUCUCGUAGAGGGGGGUAGAAUUCCAGGUGUAGCGGUGAAAUGCGUAGAGAUCUGGAGGAAUACCGGUGGCGAAGGCGGCCCCCUGGACGAAGACUGACGCUCAGGUGCGAAAGCGUGGGGGAGCAAACAGGAUUAGAUACCCUGCUAGUCCACGCCGUAACGAUGUCGACUUGGAGGUUGUUCCCUUGAGGAGUGCUUCCGGAGCUAACGCGUUAAGUCGACCGCCUGGGGAGUACGGGCCGCAAGGUUAAAACUCAAAUGAAUUGACGGGGGCCCGCACAAGCGGUGGAGCAUGUGUUUUAAUUUCGAUGCAAC
rnacentral:rRNA from 1 species